rnacentral:rRNA from 1 species
GACGAACGCUGGCGGCGUGCUUAACACAUGCAAGUCGAACGGAAAGGCCCUGCUGUUGUGGGGUGCUCGAGUGGCGAACGGGUGAGUAACACGUGAGUAACCUGCCCUUGACUUUGGGAUAACUUCAGGAAACUGGGGCUAAUACCGGAUAGCAGCUCCUGCUCCAUGGUGGGGGUUGGAUAGUUUCGGCGGUUGGGGAUGGACUCGCGGCUUAUCAGCUUGUUGGUGGGGUAGUGGCUUACCAAGGCUUUGACGGGUAGCCGGCCUGAGAGGGUGACCGGCCACAUUGGGACUGAGAUACGGCCCAGACUCCUACGGGAGGCAGCAGUGGGGAAUAUUGCACAAUGGGCGGAAGCCUGAUGCAGCAACGCCGCGUGCGGGAUGACGGCCUUCGGGUUGUAAACCGCUUUCGCCUGUGACGAAGCGUGAGUGACGGUAAUGGGUAAAGAAGCACCGGCUAACUACGUG